rnacentral:rRNA from 1 species
UUAGCGGCGGACGGGUGAGUAACACGUGGGUAACCUGCCUGUAAGACUGGGAUAACUCCGGGAAACCGGAGCUAAUACCGGAUAGUUCCUUGAACCGCAUGGUUCAAGGAUGAAAGACGGUUUCGGCUGUCACUUACAGAUGGACCCGCGGCGCAUUAGCUAGUUGGUGGGGUAAUGGCUCACCAAGGCGACGAUGCGUAGCCGACCUGAGAGGGUGAUCGGCCACACUGGGACUGAGACACGGCCCAGACUCCUACGGGAGGCAGCAGUAGGGAAUCUUCCGCAAUGGACGAAAGUCUGACGGAGCAACGCCGCGUGAGUGAUGAAGGUUUUCGGAUCGUAAAGCUCUGUUGUUAGGGAAGAACAAGUGCGAGAGUAACUGCUCGCACCUUGACGGUACCUAACCAGAAAGCCACGGCUAACUACGUGCCAGCAGCCGCGGUAAUACGUAGGUGGCAAGCGUUGUCCGGAAUUAUUGGGCGUAAAGGGCUCGCAGGCGGUUUCUUAAGUCUGAUGUGAAAGCCCCCGGCUCAACCGGGGAGGGUCAUUGGAAACUGGGAAACUUGAGUGCAGAAGAGGAGAGUGGAAUUCCACGUGUAGCGGUGAAAUGCGUAGAGAUGUGGAGGAACACCAGUGGCGAAGGCGACUCUCUGGUCUGUAACUGACGCUGAGGAGCG